rnacentral:rRNA from 1 species
UACAUGUGGGGCAAGCGUUGUUCGGAAUUACUGGGCAUAAAGGGUGCGUAGGCGGCUUGAUAAGUCAGUGGUGAAAUCGUCCGGCCCAACCGGACACGUGCCAAUGAUAUUGUCGAGCUUGAGUGCGUGAGGGGUGGGGGGAACGAGCAGUGUAGCGGUGAAAUGCGUAGAUAUCUGGAGGAACACCGGUGGCGAAGGCGGCAUCCUGGACCGACACUGACGCUGAGGAGCGAAAGCCAGGGGAGCAAGCGGG